UACGUAGGGUGCAAGCGUUGUCCGGAAUUAUUGGGCGUAAAGAGCUCGUAGGCGGUUUGUCGCGUCGGCUGUGAAAACCUGGGGCUCAACUCCGGGCCUGCAGCCGAUACGGGCAGACUAGAGUUCGGUAGGGGAGACUGGAAUUCCUGGUGUAGCGGUGAAAUGCGCAGAUAUCAGGAGGAACACCGGUGGCGAAGGCGGGUCUCUGGGCCGAAACUGACGCUGAGGAGCGAAAGCGUGGGGAGCAAACGGG
rnacentral:rRNA from 1 species